rnacentral:rRNA from 1 species
GGUAUAAGCCAUCUUUUUAUUUUUAAAAGACCUUUUUCGGAAGGUAUGCUUAAAGAGGGGCUUGCGUCACAUUAGUUAGUUGGCAGGGUAAAGGCCUACCAAGACUAUGAUGUGUAGCUGGACUGAGAGGUUGAACAGCCACAUUGGGACUGAGACACGGCCCAAACUCCUACGGGAGGCAGCAGUAGGGAAUUUUCGGCAAUGGAGGAAACUCUGACCGAGCAACGCCGCGUGAACGAUGAAGUAUUUCGGUAUGUAAAGUUCUUUUAUUGAAGAAGAAAAAAUAGUGGAAAAACUAUCUUGACGAUAUUCAAUGAAUAAGCCCCGGCAAACUAUGUGCCAGCAGCCGCGGUAAUACAUAGGGGGCGAGCGUUAUCCGGAAUUAUUGGGCGUAAAGGGUGCGUAGGCGGUUUAAUAAGUCUAUAGUUUAAUUUCAGUGCUUAACACUGUCCUGCUAUAGAAACUAUUAAACUAGAGUGAGAUAGAGGCAAGUGGAAUUCCAUGUGUAGCGGUAAAAUGCGUAAAUAUAUGGAGGAACACCAGAGGCGUAGGCGGCUUGCUGGGUCUUUACUGACGCUGAGGCACGAAAGCGUGGGGAGCAAACAGGAUUAGAUACCCUGGUAGUCCACGCCGUAAACGAUGAGUACUAAGUGUCGGGAUUACUCGGUACUGAAGUUAACACAUUAAGUACUCCGCCUGAGUAGUACGUACGCAAGUAUGAAACUUAAAGGAAUUGACGGGACUCCGCACAAGCGGUGGAUCAUGUUGUUUAAUUCGAAGAUACACGAAAAACCUUACCAGGUCUUGACAUACUCUGCAAAGCUAUAGCAAUAUAGUGAGGUUAUCAGGGAUACAGGUGGUGCAUGGUUGUCGUCAGCUCGUGUCGUGAGAUGUUAGGUUAAGUCCUAAAACGAGCGCAACCCUUGUCAUUAGUUGCCAGCAUGUCAUGAUGGGCACUUUAAUGAGACUGCCAAUGAAAAAUUGGAGGAAGGUGAGGAUCACGUCAAAUCAUCAUGCCCCUUAUGAUCUGGGCUACAAACGUGAUACAAUGGCUGUUACAAAGAGUAGCUGAAACGCAAGUUUAUAGCCAAUCUCAUAAAAACAGUCUCAGUUCGGAUUGAAGUCUGCAACUCGACUUCAUGAAGUUGGAAUCGCUAGUAAUCGCGAAUCAGCAUGUCGCGGGAAAAUUAACC